UACAGAGGGUGCAAGCGUUAAUCGGAAUUACUGGGCGUAAAGCGUGCGUAGACGGUUAUGUAAGUCAGAUGUGAAAGCCCCGGGCUCAACCUGGGAAUUGCAUUUGAGACUGCAUAGCUAGGGUGCGGAAGAGGGAAGCGGAAUUUCCGGUGUAGCGGUGAAAUGCGUAGAUAUCGGAAGGAACACCAGUGGCGAAAGCGGCUUCCUGGUCCAUUACUGACGCUGAGGUGCGAAAGCGUGGGGAGCAAACAGG
rnacentral:rRNA from 1 species